GUGUCAGCAGCCGCGGUAAUACGAACUGUGCGAACGUUAUUCGGAAUCACUGGGCUUACAGGGUGCGUAGGCGGCUCAACAAGUCAGGUGUGAAAGCCCCCGGCUCAACCGGGGAACUGCGCUUGAAACUGUUAGGCUCGAGUCAGCUAGAGGUACACGGAACUUCCAGUGGAGCGGUGAAAUGUGUUGAUAUUGGAAGGAACACCGGAGGCGAAAGCGGUGUACUGGGGCUGGUCUGACGCUGAGGCACGAAAGCCAGGGGAGCGAACGGGAUUAGAUACCCUCGUAGUCC
rnacentral:rRNA from 1 species